rnacentral:lncRNA from 1 species
CGCAGUGGGUCUGCCGAGUAAUGACGCGGUAUUCAGACACCCCGUCUCGCGCCUUUUUUCCCUGUGCGCAUUCUGCUAAAUCUUUUGAGCCAUGAACCUGCGGGCUGCGAAUAGCUACCUAUACAUGUCCUCGGGCGGCACUAUCUCGCCGGCACUGCGCUGAAAAUGAUUAAACAUCUUUUCGGCGCUGACCCAGGGUCGCCGACUCAGUCGGAAUUGUAACCCUAGUUUUCAGCAUAACCAUAACCUCGGAGACGCAUACCUCUAGGGCUCAUCCCCUAGCCCGCGAGCCUUGGCUCGCGUGGGGGCGCACAACAUCUUAGUUGUCGACCUUGGCUUUCGUUUCCAAAUUUUUGUCGCCUGUUCCGGGCGCUUUGAUCAGAUUGGUUCAGACAGGGUUGGGGUUCAGACAGGCGCUCAGCGCCGAGCUUUGGGUUCGAAGUUCCAUGGCGGCUCGCGGGCGGCUGGUCGCAUGAGUUCUUCGGUGUUGUGUUGUCAGUGGUUUCUGUGUUUGCAGGUAGUGGGUAGCCCUCGUGGUCGCCCUUGGCCCGGCGCAACGGCUGGCGCAUCGGUGCCUCGCCUGUGUGCGCCUCGGCGUCUUGCCUCGUGGCGCCCAGUCAGCCGUCGUCUCUGUCUGCGGUCUUCCUGGCUCUGCAGAUUUUAGCCCUGGGGGUUUUAGCUCGCAGCAUACGGUUCACGGACCGGUAGGCGCGUGGUGACCGCAGUCGGGUAGUCCCGGGUUUGGGGUGUGUGUGCACGGGCGGCUGUUGCCCGGGCGCCCAGGCGACUGUUGGCUCUUCUCGUCUCCGAGUGCCGCUGGGGCUUGUGUGGAGGGUCGGCCUGGGUCGUUGGUUGGACGGUUGGCGGGUGGUGCGCCCUUUGAGAGGGGCUGUGGUGUGCUGUGGCGUGGUGGUGUUUCGGCUUGGCUUCCGGUUCCAGUUGUGCCUCGGCACAGACUAUCAGACAUGGGCCUUCGGGCCAAGACAUUGCGCGUCUCUGACGCCAGCCAUCGUCUUCGGACGUGAUAUUUGUGUGGUGCUUGCGUUUGAUGGGGCUGUCGGCAGACCACUGGCCUGUCGUGCCUUGUUUUGCGUUGGUGCUGCCGCCAAAAGACCUAAAAGAGAUGAGGGGUGUUACGUGGCGGUGGGGCUUUGGCGGGCUUCGGCUUGGCUUCGACUCAUGCGCGUACCGCUAUGAAGGUCGGCAGUCAACCAGGGGGUGGGUGUUUCUCUCUGGGCCGGAGACGGUCCCUCGCGGCGUGGGUACGGUGUGCCCCCGCUUGUCGGACUGUCCCUUCAAUUGUAAUUCGCAUCCAUAACCAUAAAAAACACAAACUACUAGCCUCUAGGGCUCAUCCCCUAGCCCGCGAGCCUUGGCUCGCGUGGGGGCGCACAACAUCUUAGUUGUCGACCUUGGCUUUCGUUUCCAAAUUUUUGUCGCCUGUUCCGGGCGCUUUGAUCAGAUUGGUUCAGACAGGGUUGGGGUUCAGACAGGCGCUCAGCGCCGAGCUUUGGGUUCGAAGUUCCAUGGCGGCUCGCGGGCGGCUGGUCGCAUGAGUUCUUCGGUGUUGUGUUGUCAGUGGUUUCUGUCUUUGCAGGUAGUGGGUAGCCCUCGUGGUCGCCCUUGGCCCGGCGCAACGGCUGGCGCAUCGAUGCCUCGCCUGUGUGCGCCUCGGCGUCUUGCCUCGUGGCGCCCAGUCAGCCGUCGUCUCUGUCUGCGGUCUUCCUGGCUCUGCAGAUUUUAGCCCUGGGGGUUUUCGCUCGCAGCAUACGGUUCACGGACCGGUAGGCGCGUGGUGACCGCAGUCGGGUAGUCCCGGGUUUGGGGUGUGUGUGCACGGGCGGCUGUUGCCCGGGCGCCCGGGCGACUGUUGGCUCUUCUCGUCUCCGAGUGCCGCUGGGGCUUGUGUGGAGGGUCGGCCUGGGUCGUUGGUUGGACGGAUGGUGGGUGGUGCGCCCUUUGAGAGGGGCUGUGGUGUGCUGUGGCUUGGUGGUGUUUCGGCUUCGCUUCCGGUUCCAGUUGUGCCUCGGCACAGACUAUCAGACAUGGGCCUUCGGGCCAAGACAUUGCGCGUCUCUGACGCCAGCCAUCGUCUUCGGACGUGAUAUUUGUGUGGUGCUUGCGUUUGAUGGGGCUGUCGGCAGACCACUGGCCUGUCGUGCCUUGUUUUGCGUUGGUGCUGCCGCCAAAAGACCUAAAAGUGAUGAGGGGUGUUACGUGGCGGUGGGGCUUUGGCGGGCUUCGGCUUGGCUUCGACUCAUGCGCGUACCGCUAUGAAGGUCGGCAGUCAACCAGGGGGUGGGUGUUUCUCUCUGGGCCGGAGACGGUCCCUCGCGGCGUGGGUACGGUGUGCCCCCGCUUGUCGGACUGUCCCUUCAAUUGUAAUUCGCAUCCAUAACCGCUGAAAAUUGCAUCCAUAGGGCAACCAUAAAGCCGGGGUCCGUACGGACCCCGGUGCAAGACGUCUGUGGGGGUGUCCCUCCAAGGAGGGAGGGGGAGGGGGGUGAUGUGAGCAGGGCGGGGCACAGGGCAGUUGGCACGCCGGGAUGCGCGGCAUGCGAGAAGGCAGGCAGGCAUGAAUGGCAGGCCGAGAACGGAACAGCACGAAGCAAGACUUGAAGUGCACAGCAGGAGCAGCAGGCAAGUAAGUCGGGCCCCGCGGGACUGGAGGUGGCGCCGGUUGUGCGGAGCUGUUGCGCCGAGUGGGCCGCAGGAUUUUGUGUGGUAGCACAUACAUGCUGAAGGGAGUUGUCAUAGCAUGUCGCAAAUGCUGCGCAGGGAAGACAUACGCGUCCUCGCUGGCGCAACGGCGUAAGGCCAUGCCCGGGAACGCGCGAGGUGCAUCGCACGGAUUUGCACCUGUGACUCUGGUCAAAUAGCGUCUGCAAUACGCCAAAGUCAUUUAGGCGCGGACAGCGAGGCCUAUGGCGUUGCUACAGCGGGAAGCGACCAGCGUUAGGGAGCGAUUUGAAGCAGCUGUGCUCGCUAGCGUCCAUGAAUCGUGUUUAUAUAGCUUCUUUGUACUUAAAAGUAUUGUUAAGUAUAUCGCGGUGUCUACGGCGCCGCGGCAAGAAAAAUGCGAUGUGGCGUUGCUAAGGACGCGAUGAAGGCAGGUUCAGCUCGUUCGCCCCCGACAAGAGCGAUAUUGGGCGUUAUGAACAUUUAGCCGCAUUGUACAUAUUUGCAGUGACACUACGGUGCGCGCGACGGCAUGCAUUCAAGUCGUUUUUCCUCGGGGGCGCCGUUUCGCGGGCUCUUUCUGCUCGCAUCGGCCUUUUGUAUUAUGAGGAACAUUAUGCAAUCUCGCGCGGGCGCUACGGGCGCGAUUCGGGGACUACAGGAUUCUGAGACCCGGGGUCACUGAACUCGACGCAGAUGGUUUACUGAUGGGCGUCUUAAAGAAUAGAUUGGUUUAGACCUGGUUCAGACAAUUCCCUUGCACUUCGCACCGCUAAGUUUGGUAAAUGCGCACGUCCGCGCGCGCCGGGCCUCGCGCCGGCACGCCGGUGCAGACCAUCGCGUUCAAAUCAGAAUACAAUGACUGGAUACGUAAGGGGCGGCCGCCGAUGGUCUUCCUCCAGGCUUCCACGGUUGUGCCGCCGGAUGCUGUGGAGGCCACUCAGCGGGCGCUCUGUAUUAAGAAGAGGUUCGAUAUCGUAAGAACGUUCUACGGGGUCGUUUGGGACGACCUGGAGGCGGCGGCGGAAGCCGCGGCCGUUGCCGCGCCUUACCGGCUCGGCGGCAUCCCGCUCCACAAUGACCCCGGCGGCGUCCGUGUUCGCACGGACUUCGCCAUAGCACGCGCCACCCGCCCGGCGCUCCUCGAGCGGCUGGACGCCAACAGCCGCUUGCAGACGCUGGCGGUCGACGGCGUGCCCAGCCUGCAGUGGGAGGUGCGGGAUGCGUUUACCGCUGCCCCGGCCGCGGGUGGGAAGCACGUCCGCUGGCUGAAGGUGUCUGGCCUGCUCGCCGGCAUGGGCCGGGAGCCUGCACUGGUGAUCAAACUGAUGGCGGAAUUCGGCAUGGAGGUUCGACAGGUGGAGGUGGACGUGGACUACCGCUUCCACACGGCGGUCGAGCAGGGUGACUGUGUGCACAUCGAGCUGGCGCCGGAGUCAGCGGUGCCCGCGGACACGCCGACGUUCUGCCUCGGGUGGGGUCCCAAGCGGCUGUGGUGCACCUUCGUGGACCGACUGGCGAUCCUGGCGCGUGUGGCCAAGGGUCCCAAGGGCGGUGCCAGCCGCCCGGGUGCUGGCGGCCGGGCCAACCGCGGCCCGCCGGCGGCGGCAGUGCCGGCAGUGCCGGCGCCCAAGGCCGCUGCCAACGUGGCGCUGGCGGCCGCGGCCGGGGAUGACGAGGCUGGUGGCGGCGCGCCGCCCGGUGGUGGUGACGCCGCGGACGGCGACGCUGACGGCGGCGGCAAGCGCCCCCGGCUGACGCCAGAGGCUGCUGAGGCUGCCCAGGCGACGGCCGCGGCGGCUGCGGAGGCUGCUGCGCAGGUGGCGGCGGCGCUGGCUGCCGCCGGGGCGGCUCCUGGCGGCUCUCAGGCAGCGGGGCUGCCGCCGCCAGCGCCGCCGGUGGAGGUGCGCAACUCGUUCGCCGCCCUGGCGCGCCUGGGGCCGGCGGACGGGGUGGAUGAGGACGAGGACGAGGAUGCGGGCAUGACCGCUGGCGGCACCUCGGACGCCGACAUGGAGGACGCGGCGGGCCCGGCGGCUGCGUCCUUGGACGCGGCUGCCCUACCGCCGCGGAAGCAGAAGCAGAAGCAGAAGCCCAAGAAGGCUGCGGCCGCGGGCGCGGCGGCCGGCGCGGUGGCCAAGCCCAAGGGCAAGACCAAGCCGGCUGCAGGUGCCUCCGCGGCGGCUGCCCUGGCGGCGGCGGAGGCGGCGGCGGAGGCGGCGGCGGCGGCGGCUGCCCUGGCGGAGGCGGAGGCGGCGGCGGAGGCGGCGGCGGCGGCGGCUGCCCUGGCGGCGGCGGGUGCGGCGGCGCCUGGUGGUGCGGCACCCGGUGCCGCGGAGGCCCCCGCUGCCCCGGCCGCCGGGCCGGCGAUGGCACCCGGUGGCGCCGCCGCGGCCACCGCCCCGGCAGUGGCGACCGACGCGGCGCCUGCGGCCGCUGCAGCCGCGGUGACGCUGCCGCCCGCGUCCGCCCCUCUGGCUCUGGCGCUGGCGCCCGGCGCUGGUGCCGGUGCCGCCGCAUCUGCGGCGGCCGCCACGGAUGGCAGCGGCAGCGGAACUGGCAGCGGCAGCGGCAGCGGCCACGGCGGCGGCGGCGGCAGUGGCGGCGGCGGCGACGGCAGCUGCGGCGGCCGCGGCCAUGACAAUGGGGAUGGUGGCGGCGCAGGUGGCGGCGGCACGCCGCCGGUGGUGGCGGCCGGCCCUGCCGGUGCGCCCCGCGCCCCCGCCCCCACCGUGGUGAUCUCGGCUGCCCCGCCGGGGGCUCCGCAGUAGUGCGCCGUCCUCGGCAGCAAGCGGCCGGCCCCCGGCCGCUGCGGGUAGGGUCGCACAACGUGCGGGGGUUGCGGAGCCGGGUCCAGCAUCUGGGCUGCCCGCGCCUGCACGCCCUACUCCGCUGUUGGGAGCGGCAGCAACUGGACGUGGUCUGCCUGCAGGAGACCCACGUCCGGGCAGAAGACAUUGACCUCGUGACCGCUGACCUGCGUGCUGCUGCACUGCGGCUGCACGUGCGUGAGUGGACAGCCUGGUGGGCCCCCGCCCCCACGCCCCAUCAGCGUGUCUCCGGCGGCACUGCCAUCCUUAUUCGCACUUGUCUGCUGGAGCAAGGUGCCGUCACGUUCCCGGGUGGCGUGGCGGCCCCCUCCGUUGCUGACGGCGCGUGGGUGGGCCGCGGCGUCAGUCUCCCCGUGCAGUGGGGCGGGCAUGACUUCACGCUGGCGGCAGCCUACUAUCCGUUGGCAAGUCCUGAGCAACGUGCCUUCACCCAGCAAUGGGUGGCGUCGGCGGUUGGCGGUGAGGGCAAUCACCUGCUAGCUGCUGACUUCAACUUUGUUAGCGACGUGGCGCUUGACACGGCCAGCGGUGUCCCGCGGCCGGGUGACCCCGCCGCAGCGACAGCGCUGGCGGCUGCGUGCCCUGGUCUGAUCGACGUCCUCCGAGUGCGCCGGCCUGGCCAGCGUGUUUGUACUUACAUUCAUUCGCACGGCGCGUCGCGCCUUGACCGCAUUCUCUGCAGUGGCCGCCUCGUGGCUCAGGUCCUGGCCUGCGCCGUGGAGGCGGGUGUCCCGUCCGACCACCGCCUGGUGACGCUGACGCUGGCAGCGGCGCCGGAGGCCCUGCCACCUUCUCCAGGCCUGCCCAAAGCUCGCCUGGGGUUCCUCGACUUCAAGGACCUGACAAAGGAUUACCGGACAUGGCUGACUGCGGCGCUUGGAGCCCGGCCGGGUGCCCCAGCUGAGUUGCUGGCGUGGUGGCCGCAGCUCAAACGGGCAGCGGCCGCGUCAGCUACCCGGCUGAGCCGCGUGGCGGCCGUCCGCCGCAUUGCAGCCAGUGAGGAAGAAGCGCGUGCGCUCGCGGCUGCUGCUGCCGCCGCGGCCGCAGUGGAGGUCGGUGCGGCGCUGCCGGAGGCCGCAGCGGCGGCGGUGCGCGCGCGGUGUGCCGCCGCCACCGCCGCGGUGCAGGCUGCCGCGGGGGCGGCGCGCCGCACGCGUCACGAGUGGUUACGGGGUGGGGAAAAGCCAUGCCCGGUGCUGACCCGCAUGCUGCGCCCGUCAGGUGGGCCGCGUACCAUAGCCCGGCUCAAACGCCCCGAUGGCAGCGCUACCUCGGACCCAACCGUGAUGGGCCAGGUCAUGGCAACCUACUGGCAAGACGUCUGUGCGGCGCCGCCGCCUGCCCCAGCCGCCCGCGCGCAAGUGCUGGCCGCGCUGCAGCAACACGGCCGCCGCUGCACGACGGAGGAAGCCGCGCAACUCGGGCAACUUGCCGUCACCGCCGCGGAGGUGCGCGCUGCGUUGGCCGCCGCGCCGGCGGGGCGCGCCGCGGGCCCUGACGGCAUUCCCGUGGAGUUGUAUCAGUACUAUGAAAGUGACUUCUCACCUGUGCUGGCUGAUGUGUUUACUGCUGUUGGCGAGGGGGCAGGGGUCCCUGGUGGGUUUCUGGAUGGUGUGUGGACAUUUUUCUACAAGGCGGGGGAUCCCCUGGAGCCCUCUAACUAUCGCCCCAUUACCCUCACGGAUACUGAUUAUCGCACCCUUGCACGUGUGCUGUGUCGGCGCUUGCAACCUGUGUUUGGGCGCGUCAUCGACCCUGAGCAAACUGCCUUCCUGUCUGACCGCCGCAUUGCUGAUAAUAUACUGCUGCUGCAACUGACUCCUGGGUUGCUGAAAGCGGCGGGACAGAAUUCUGGUGUGGCGGCCUUCCUAGACUUUUACAAGGCGUAUGAUACGGUGGACCGGUCGUUUCUCCUCGCCUGCCUUGAACGUAUGGGCGUGGGGGCCGGCUUCUUGACGUGGGUGUCGCGGCUGCUGACUGACACGCGUGGGGCGGCGCUGGUUAAUGGACGUGUGUCUGGUUGGGUGCCGCUGGCGGCAGGAGUCCGGCAAGGGUGCCCGCUGGCCCCGCUGCUGUACCUCGCCAUUGCGCAAGCCCUGUUGUCGUGGCUGCGCAGUAAGGGGCAUGGCGUGCUUGCUGGUCUGGCCUCGGCUUUGGCGUCCCAAUAUGCGGAUGAUUGUACGCCGUUUCUCGCGGGCAUGCAGGCUGUGCCGGGGUUCCUGGCGGACAUGGACGUUUUUCGGUGUGCGUCGGGGCAGCGGCUUAACAUGUCUAAAGUGGAGCUACUGGUGUUGGGCACCUCCGCGGGUUUGGGGGUGGCGCCAGCAGCUGUGGCUGGGCCCCCCCUGCCUCCGGGUUGGCGUGUGGUCAACACCGCAAAGUCGCUCGGGGUGCACUUUGGUGAUUGGAAGACGGCCACCCCGCCAGUGGCUUUUGACGGGGUGGUGGGGGUGCUUGGCUUGAUUGUGCGUAUGCCUGUUUCGAUGUUUGGGCGAGCGGCGGCGGCCUCGGCAUAUGCCCUUAGCAAGGUCCUGUACCAUCUGGAGUUUGCGGGCUUCCCGUCGCCGUGGGCGCCGGUUGGCAAGUUGUUAGGCCAGGUGGCGGCGGUUGUUGAUCGGCGGCUGUCGCCGGCUAAGUAUGCGGUCGCACCCCAUGCUCGUCCGGUGGGGGUGUCCCUUGACAUCAUGCAGGUGCCGCCGGCUCUGGGUGGUGUAGGGCUGCUGCCUCUUCAGCUGCACGUGCAGGCGCGGCAAGCUGGACUGGCGGUGCGGUGUGUGCUGGGCGCGUGUGGGUUGCUGGCGUUUGUGCCGCCAUGGACGAAGGUGGCGGAGGCUUGGCUGCGGGCACGCCAUCCAGCGGCCACGCCCCUGCGCCUGUUGGUGCGGUGCGACCCGUCCCGUGUUUUGGACAAGUUGGUUACGCCUGAAUGCAAACCGUUUUUGCGUCUGUUGGGGGCGGUCGCCCACUUGCCGCCUAUCACGUUGGUGGCGCCGCCCGCGGCUGGGGACUGGGUGUAUCAUGUGCCGUUGUGGGCGAAUCCGGCACUGUGUGAUGGUGCACAGACUUUUGACGUGGCGUUUGCCGAUUUAUUUGCCCUGCCGGGCCUUGUGUAUGUGGGACAGUUGGUGGCGGCGCAUGACCAGUUAGAGGCCGUGCGUGCUGCCCACACCCGCCCGGGUGGGUGGGGCACCAGGUUUGGUGAGGCGAUGUUGGACUUGUACUUGACGAGCGUGUGGCGGCCUGUGCUUGGAUGGGGACCUCGGCGGCACCUGCCGUCGCCGCUCCUGGGGCCGGCGUCGCCCCUGGCGGCGGCGGAACGCAUAGCCGCGGCGGUGGCCUUGCUCCCAGGUGGCUGGGAGGCCGCGGCGCGUGCGGCUCGACUGGCUUGCGGGCGGGCGUGGGUCAUGCCGCUUCCUGCGGAUGCCGUGCGACAGGCGGCGGCGGGGGCCUUGACCCAGGUGGUGCGGGGACUGGGCUGGGUCCUGGACGGGGGCCCGCCUCUGCUGCUGUUGAACUACUCCGUGAAGGCAGGAACGGCCAUGCAACUGGGCCCCCAGGUUGCGGCGCUGCGGUCUAAACAUUUGUUGUAUGUGCGUGAUGCUGGUGUUUCUGCGGACGGCGCGCUUGCGGCUGCCGGCGCCUUUGCCGGCACUCUGGCCCGUUUGUGGGCGUUAAAAUGGGAAAAUUAUCACAAGGAAGCGUUGUGGCGGGUGGCGGCCAAUGCGUGCUGGUCGUUCCCCAAAAAUGCCGCCCAGCGUGCAGCUGGGGUGGCAAUGCCCCUGUGCCGGGCGUGUGGGCGGGAUAUGUGUGAUGGGGACCGCCGGCACUACUUUUGGGACUGUGUUGUUGCUCGGGCGCUGCGGGAGAACAUGGCUGUGGCAAUGCUGGGGUCCCCUCCUGACACGGCUGAUGACUGUUUCUCCCGUGCUGACCUUUGGCUGGUGCAGCCGCCUGCUGGGCUGGCGCCGCCGGUGUGGGAUGUAGUGUGUUUGGCUGCGCUGUCUGCCCUUGACUCGGGCCGGCAGCAGGUGAUUAUGACUGGCUUGCGUGUGCGUCGGGCUCUGACGUCGGCGGAAGUCAUGCGCAUCAGUGUGUCCGUUAUUGCUGAUUUCUGGGGCCGGCUGCAAUCAUAUGUCAGUCUCGGCCUCCGCCCGAAAGCCUGGGCCACGGUGCCUGCGCACCAUCCGUUCCUCUCGCGGGGUGCGGGUGACUGUGUGCUGCUAGUGUUGCCUGAUGAUGUGGGCUCCCCGCCCCCCUCGCCUUAAUUUGCUCGUGGGUGGUGGGAGCGGUGUGCCUCUGGUGUGUGCGCUGUGGGUGUGGGGCGUCGACGUGGGCGUCGCCGGACUACGUGCCCGGUGUACCUGCGUUGACGCCUCGCCGGUUUGAUUGCGCCUCGUGCGCUAGUGCGGUUUGCUGUACGUUGGUGGGGCUUUGGCGGGCUUGGGCUUAGCUUCGACUCGCUGUGCAGCUGCCGAGACACGCAUUACGCGAAGACCUGUUGCACGGUUGUGGAAGGUCGGUAGCCAACUGGGGGGAGGGUGGUUUCCUUUCGGGCCGGAGAUGGUCCCUCUUGACCUGGGUGCCCGGGCACCCUUGCUUGGUCGGAUUGUCCCUUCUUUGUAAUAUCGCAACCAUAACCGCUGGCGGCAGGAGUCCGGCAAGGGUGCCCGCUGGCCCCGCUGCUGUACCUCGCCAUUGCGCAAGCCCUGUUGUCGUGGCUGCGCAGUAAGGGGCAUGGCGUGCUUGCUGGUCUGGCCUCGGCUUUGGCGUCCCAAUAUGCGGAUGAUUGUACGCCGUUUCUCGCGGGCAUGCAGGCUGUGCCGGGGUUCCUGGCGGACAUGGACGUUUUUCGGUGUGCGUCGGGGCAGCGGCUUAACAUGUCUAAAGUGGAGCUACUGGUGUUGGGCACCUCCGCGGGUUUGGGGGUGGCGCCAGCAGCUGUGGCUGGGCCCCCCCUGCCUCCGGGUUGGCGUGUGGUCAACACCGCAAAGUCGCUCGGGGUGCACUUUGGUGAUUGGAAGACGGCCACCCCGCCAGUGGCUUUUGACGGGGUGGUGGGGGUGCUUGGCUUGAUUGUGCGUAUGCCUGUUUCGAUGUUUGGGCGAGCGGCGGCGGCCUCGGCGUAUGCCCUUAGCAAGGUCCUGUACCAUCUGGAGUUUGCGGGCUUCCCGUCGCCGUGGGCGCCGGUUGGCAAGUUGUUAGGCCAGGUGGCGGCGGUUGUUGAUCGACGGCUGUCGCCGGCUAAGUAUGCGGUCGCACCCCAUGCUCGUCCGGUGGGGGUGUCCCUUGACAUCAUGCAGGUGCCGCCGGCUCUGGGUGGUGUAGGGCUGCUGCCUCUUCAGCUGCACGUGCAGGCGCGGCAAGCUGGACUGGCGGUGCGGUGUGUGCUGGGCACGUGUGGGUUGCUGGCGUUUGUGCCGCCAUGGACGAAGGUGGCGGAGGCUUGGCUGCGGGCACGCCAUCCAGCGGCCACGCCCCUGCGCCUGUUGGUGCGGUGCGACCCGUCCCGUGUUUUGGACAAGUUGGUUACGCCUGAAUGCAAACCGUUUUUGCGUCUGUUGGGGGCGGUCGCCCACUUGCCGCCUAUCACGUUGGUGGCGCCGCCCGCGGCUGGGGACUGGGUGUAUCAUGUGCCGUUGUGGGCGAAUCCGGCACUGUGUGAUGGUGCACAGACUUUUGACGUGGCGUUUGCCGAUUUAUUUGCCCUGCCGGGCCUUGUGUAUGUGGGACAGUUGGUGGCGGCGCAUGACCAGUUAGAGGCCGUGCGUGCUGCCCACACCCGCCCGGGUGGGUGGGGCACCAGGUUUGGUGAGGCGAUGUUGGACUUGUACUUGACGAGCGUGUGGCGGCCUGUGCUUGGAUGGGGACCUCGGCGGCACCUGCCGUCGCCGCUCCUGGGGCCGGCGUCGCCCCUGGCGGCGGCGGAACGCAUAGCCGCGGCGGUGGCCUUGCUCCCAGGUGGCUGGGAGGCCGCGGCGCGUGCGGCUCGACUGGCUCGCGGGCGGGCGUGGGUCAUGCCGCUUCCUGCGGAUGCCGUGCGACAGGCGGCGGCGGGGGCCUUGACCCAGGUGGUGCGGGGACUGGGCUGGGUCCUGGACGGGGGCCCGCCUCUGCUGCUGUUGAACUACUCCGUGAAGGCAGGAACGGCCAUGCAACUGGGCCCCCAGGUUGCGGCGCUGCGGUCUAAACAUUUGUUGUAUGUGCGUGAUGCUGGUGUUUCUGCGGACGGCGCGCUUGCGGCUGCCGGCGCCUUUGCCGGCACUCUGGCCCGUUUGUGGGCGUUAAAAUGGGAAAAUUAUCACAAGGAAGCGUUGUGGCGGGUGGCGGCCAAUGCGUGCUGGUCGUUCCCCAAAAAUGCCGCCCAGCGUGCAGCUGGGGUGGCAAUGCCCCUGUGCCGGGCGUGUGGGCGGGAUAUGUGUGAUGGGGACCGCCGGCACUACUUUUGGGACUGUGUUGUUGCUCGGGCGCUGCGGGAGAACAUGGCUGUGGCAAUGCUGGGGUCCCCUCCUGACACGGCUGAUGACUGUUUCUCCCGUGCUGACCUUUGGCUGGUGCAGCCGCCUGCUGGGCUGGCGCCGCCGGUGUGGGAUGUAGUGUGUUUGGCUGCGCUGUCUGCCCUUGACUCGGGCCGGCAGCAGGUGAUUAUGACUGGCUUGCGUGUGCGUCGGGCUCUGACGUCGGCGGAAGUCAUGCGCAUCAGUGUGUCCGUUAUUGCUGAUUUCUGGGGCCGGCUGCAAUCAUAUGUCAGUCUCGGCCUCCGCCCGAAAGCCUGGGCCACGGUGCCUGCGCACCAUCCGUUCCUCUCGCGGGGUGCGGGUGACUGUGUGCUGCUAGUGUUGCCUGAUGAUGUGGGCUCCCCGCCCCCCUCGCCUUAAUUUGCUCGUGGGUGGUGGGAGCGGUGUGCCUCUGGUGUGUGCGCUGUGGGUGUGGGGCGUCGACGUGGGCGUCGCCGGACUACGUGCCCGGUGUACCUGCGUUGACGCCUCGCCGGUUUGAUUGCGCCUCGUGCGCUAGUGCGGUUUGCUGUACGUUGGUGGGGCUUUGGCGGGCUUGGGCUUAGCUUCGACUCGCUGUGCAGCUGCCGAGACACGCAUUACGCGAAGACCUGUUGCACGGUUGUGGAAGGUCGGUAGCCAACUGGGGGGAGGGUGGUUUCCUUUCGGGCCGGAGAUGGUCCCUCUUGACCUGGGUGCACGGGCACCCUUGCUUGGUCGGAUUGUCCCUUCUUUGUAAUAUCGCAACCAUAACCGCUGGCGGCAGGAGUCCGGCAAGGGUGCCCGCUGGCCCCGCUGCUGUACCUCGCCAUUGCGCAAGCCCUGUUGUCGUGGCUGCGCAGUAAGGGGCAUGGCGUGCUUGCUGGUCUGGCCUCGGCUUUGGCGUCCCAAUAUGCGGAUGAUUGUACGCCGUUUCUCGCGGGCAUGCAGGCUGUGCCGGGGUUCCUGGCGGACAUGGACGUUUUUCGGUGUGCGUCGGGGCAGCGGCUUAACAUGUCUAAAGUGGAGCUACUGGUGUUGGGCACCUCCGCGGGUUUGGGGGUGGCGCCAGCAGCUGUGGCUGGGCCCCCCCUGCCUCCGGGUUGGCGUGUGGUCAACACCGCAAAGUCGCUCGGGGUGCACUUUGGUGAUUGGAAGACGGCCACCCCGCCAGUGGCUUUUGACGGGGUGGUGGGGGUGCUUGGCUUGAUUGUGCGUAUGCCUGUUUCGAUGUUUGGGCGAGCGGCGGCGGCCUCGGCGUAUGCCCUUAGCAAGGUCCUGUACCAUCUGGAGUUUGCGGGCUUCCCGUCGCCGUGGGCGCCGGUUGGCAAGUUGUUAGGCCAGGUGGCGGCGGUUGUUGAUCGACGGCUGUCGCCGGCUAAGUAUGCGGUCGCACCCCAUGCUCGUCCGGUGGGGGUGUCCCUUGACAUCAUGCAGGUGCCGCCGGCUCUGGGUGGUGUAGGGCUGCUGCCUCUUCAGCUGCACGUGCAGGCGCGGCAAGCUGGACUGGCGGUGCGGUGUGUGCUGGGCACGUGUGGGUUGCUGGCGUUUGUGCCGCCAUGGACGAAGGUGGCGGAGGCUUGGCUGCGGGCACGCCAUCCAGCGGCCACGCCCCUGCGCCUGUUGGUGCGGUGCGACCCGUCCCGUGUUUUGGACAAGUUGGUUACGCCUGAAUGCAAACCGUUUUUGCGUCUGUUGGGGGCGGUCGCCCACUUGCCGCCUAUCACGUUGGUGGCGCCGCCCGCGGCUGGGGACUGGGUGUAUCAUGUGCCGUUGUGGGCGAAUCCGGCACUGUGUGAUGGUGCACAGACUUUUGACGUGGCGUUUGCCGAUUUAUUUGCCCUGCCGGGCCUUGUGUAUGUGGGACAGUUGGUGGCGGCGCAUGACCAGUUAGAGGCCGUGCGUGCUGCCCACACCCGCCCGGGUGGGUGGGGCACCAGGUUUGGUGAGGCGAUGUUGGACUUGUACUUGACGAGCGUGUGGCGGCCUGUGCUUGGAUGGGGACCUCGGCGGCACCUGCCGUCGCCGCUCCUGGGGCCGGCGUCGCCCCUGGCGGCGGCGGAACGCAUAGCCGCGGCGGUGGCCUUGCUCCCAGGUGGCUGGGAGGCCGCGGCGCGUGCGGCUCGACUGGCUUGCGGGCGGGCGUGGGUCAUGCCGCUUCCUGCGGAUGCCGUGCGACAGGCGGCGGCGGGGGCCUUGACCCAGGUGGUGCGGGGACUGGGCUGGGUCCUGGACGGGGGCCCGCGCUGUCUGCCCUUGACUCGGGCCGGCAGCAGGUGAUUAUGACUGGCUUGCGUGUGCGUCGGGCUCUGACGUCGGCGGAAGUCAUGCGCAUCAGUGUGUCCGUUAUUGCUGAUUUCUGGGGCCGGCUGCAAUCAUAUGUCAGUCUCGGCCUCCGCCCGAAAGCCUGGGCCACGGUGCCUGCGCACCAUCCGUUCCUCUCGCGGGGUGCGGGUGACUGUGUGCUGCUAGUGUUGCCUGAUGAUGUGGGCUCCCCGCCCCCCUCGCCUUAAUUUGCUCGUGGGUGGUGGGAGCGGUGUGCCUCUGGUGUGUGCGCUGUGGGUGUGGGGCGUCGACGUGGGCGUCGCCGGACUACGUGCCCGGUGUACCUGCGUUGACGCCUCGCCGGUUUGAUUGCGCCUCGUGCGCUAGUGCGGUUUGCUGUACGUUGGUGGGGCUUUGGCGGGCUUGGGCUUAGCUUCGACUCGCUGUGCAGCUGCCGAGACACGCAUUACGCGAAGACCUGUUGCACGGUUGUGGAAGGUCGGUAGCCAACUGGGGGGAGUGUGGUUUCCUUUCGGGCCGGAGAUGGUCCCUCUUGACCUGGGUGCCCGGGCACCCUUGCUUGGUCGGAUUGUCCCUUCUUUGUAAUAUCGCAACCAUAACCGCUUGUCGGACUGUCCCUUCAAUUGUAAUUCGCAUCCAUAACAAGGCGGUGGGGCUUUGGCGGGCUUCGGCUUGGCUUCGACUCAUGCGCGUAACGCUAUGAAGGUCGGCAGUCAACCAGGGGGUGGGUGUUUCUCUCUGGGCCGGAGACGGUCCCUCGCGGCGUGGGUACGGUGUGCCCCCGCUUGUCGGACUGUCCCUUCAAUUGUAAUUCGCAUCCAUAACAAGGGGUGUCAGCUUUGUACAGCUGGAAAAUGGGCUGAGCCCCCGUACGCUUGGGAGCUAAUAGGCGUGUAACGCCCCGUCAGAGCCUCCAUGCCGCUACGACGCGCAGGCGCAUCGGCUAGGGACACUCGGGUUGGGGUCGUGCGGGAUU